rnacentral:misc_RNA from 2 species
CUGAGUGAGGGUUUAACCGCCCGACCUCCAACCCUUUGUGAAUCGUACUCGUUGCUUCGGGGGCGACCCUGCCGUCCGCGGCUGAGCGCCCCCGGGGUCAAUCAAACACUGCAUUCUCUGCGUCGGAGUAUUAGUAAAUCUAAUCA